UACGGGGGGGGCAAGCGUUGUUCGGAAUUACUGGGCGUAAAGGGCUCGUAGGCGGCCAACUAAGUCAGACGUGAAAUCCCUCGGCUUAACCGGGGAACUGCAUCUGAUACUGGAUGGCUUGAGUCCGGGAGAGGUGAGUGGAACUGCGAGUGUAGAGGUGAAAUUCGUAGAUAUUCGCAAGAACACCAGUGGCGAAGGCGGCUCACUGGCCCGGUACUGACGCUGAGGUGCGAAAGCGUGGGGAGCAAACAGG
rnacentral:rRNA from 1 species